CUUUCUUUCUCUCUCUCUCUCUCUCUCUUUCUCUCUUUCUUUCUCUCUUUCUUCACUCCUUAGCUGCUCCACUUCCAUUUUUAAACGAUGAUUUGGCCCUAUUUUGGGAAAUCAGACAGGCAGUGUUAUUGUCUUGGAAGAGCCGAGGGGUAGAGAUAGUUGCUGGUUUUCCAGCCCCGGACUUCUCCCAAUCUAGGAACAUUUGCCAGGCAGGAGCUACUGCUGCCAACACCCUGUGAUAGUCUCCUCCCUUGGGACUGGGAUUGAGCAAAGAAAGAAAAACAUACAGGCUGUCAGAUGCAGGGACGUCAGCUGGAGCAGAGAAGGUGGGAUGGUAGCCUGCACAGAGCCCGGGAGUAGACAGGAAACCUGGUUCUAACACCUGGCUCUGACUUUUGCUAGGUGUGCAGCAAGUCACUUAGCUUAGUUCUAGGCCACAGCCAUCUCUCCUAUAGAAGGAAAUGGUCAGAUCCUCUGGCUUCUAACUUCUUUUACAAUUCUAAAUCUAUGAAUUAUGAUCUUGUCAGGGCUGAACUUGUUCUAACAAUUUCCUCCAGGAGAGCACACUUGGAAUAUGGAAAGGAGGUAUUCUUCCCACUGCCCUGCAGGCGGUGCCAGUGGAAUAUUUAGAACUGGAAGGGACUGGGACUUUCAGUCCUGUGGUCUCCAUCUUUUCUAGGAUGAUUUAUCCCUAUUAGGAAAAGACUUUUGAGCACAUACCUAAUUAUAUUUAUAUAGUUGUUUAUACAUUACAAAUAAGCACUAAUAAUUAUGUUAUAAAAUUUACACAAAAAUGGAAAUUAAAUUAAAGAGGAGACAAAGAUGGAAAAAAAUUUAGUCGAAGAGUCAAUGAAUGGGGAAUUACUGGAGUGACAUGGUCAAAUCUGUGAUGGGAAACUCAUAUUGGCAGGUACUUGGGGGGUGGACUUGAGAGGGGCAGACUCUUGAAGAAGUCCAAAAUAGGUAACAGUGUAAGGGGACAAAAGGAAUAGAAGUGAGUGGUUUUGCAGUGGCAGAAAUGACCGGAGAUAAGGGGGGGAGAGGGGGGGAAAUGAGUGCUUACAAAGACUUAGUUGUAUGGAAUUAUAAUGGUAUCUUUAAAAGGGAUGGGGGAAUUUGAAAGUUGGUAAGUUUAUGGAGAAAAAAAUGUAAUGAGUUUUAUGACAGAUCGUAACCUAUCCAUCCUGUUUGAGGUCUUCUGUUCUACUUAAAGCAAAAAGGAGGGAGGGGAGAGUCUGCCUUUUAAAGGGGCGUGUGCCAUAGUAUUCAUUGAUCUGGGAG
rnacentral:lncRNA from 1 species